rnacentral:ncRNA from 1 species
CCAACAGCGAUGACGAAGAAAUGCUGUGGCCCCGGAAAUCCUCAGAGAGCCGAUGAUUGCUGCGAAUCGGCGGUUUCUACCACAGAUAAGCACUUCCGAGCUGCUGCGCUGAACGGACGAUUUUUCCCGUCCCAGUAGGUGCGAACGGUAGAUCCGUUAUCUCUACAGGUCAUGUACCUGCCAAGGCUCCUUUUUGAGAAAAAGGGAGCGAAUGAGGGUGGCACCGCGAAGCAAAGCCUCUCGUCCCUCAC